rnacentral:rRNA from 1 species
AACGAACGCUGGCGGCAGGCCUAACACAUGCAAGUCGAACGAUGUAGCAAUACAUAGUGGCGCACGGGUGAGUAACGCGUGGGAAUGUACCAUUUGGUGGGGAAUAACUCGGGGAAACUGGAGAUAAUAACGCAUAAGACCUUCGGGGGAAAGAUUUAUCGCGAAAUGAUCAGCCCGCGUGAGAUUAGAUCUUUGGUGGGAUAAUGGCCUACCAAGUAGACGAUCUCUAGCUGGUCUUAGAGGAUGACCAGCCACACUGGAACUGAGACACGGUCCAGACUCCUACGGGAGGCAGCAGUGGGAAUAUUGGGCAAUGGACGAAAGUCUGACCCAGCCAUGCCGCGUGAGUGAUGAAGGCUCUAGGGUUGUAAAGCUCUUUCGCCGAUGAAGAUAAUGACGGUAGUCGGAGAAGAAGCCCCGGCUAACUUCGUGCCAGCCGCCGCCGUAA